AACGUACUCCCUCCGUCCGAAAAAGCUUGUCCCUCAAAUGGAUGUAUCUAGCAACAAGUUAGUGCUAGAUACAUCCAUUUGAGAGUCAAGCUUGGGGCAAGCUUUUUUAGUGGUAGAUACAUCCAUUUGAGAGACAAGCUUGGGACAAGCUUUUUCGGACGGAGGGAGUACAAG
rfam:Triticum aestivum genome assembly, contig: Triticum_aestivum_CS42_TGACv1_scaffold_423326_5BS